AAAGCUAAGGGAGCGAAUGAGAUUAGAUACCCCAGUAGUCCUAGCCGUAAACGAUGGAUAUUAGGCGCUAUGCGUAUUGACCCGUGCAAUGUUGUAGCUAACGCGUUAAAGUAUCC
rfam:Glycine max cultivar Williams 82 chromosome 10, whole genome shotgun sequence.